AAGUUGUAUAUCAGAAUUUAACUUUUCCACUUAGAUCUUAAAGAAUAUUAGAAGUGUGAUAACACAACCCUCCCAAAUAAUCAAGCAGUCUAAGGCAUGUAUAAGGCCAAUAAUUUAGAAAUUUCCACCAUUGUGAGGUACACUAAUCUUAAUAAAUAAGACAAUAACAGGUAUUUAAAAUGGGGGCAAGGUGAACAAGUAGACAAUAAAUUGUGUACUUUUAUAAAGUAUUUGAGAAUAUAUUU